ACGAUCUGUUGAUAGUUUUACAUGAUUGUGAUUACAUUGUAAAUGUUUUAAUCCAAAUUCAUUUUUCCCUAGAUACUUUAUUUUUGCAUAGCACACAACAUAUGGAAAGUCAAAGGAACAUAUAAAAAUUCAUACUCAUGAGCCUUUCCUCUAUCCAGAACAUACAAAUAUUUGUUUUUGUGUUCUUAUUUUGUAAUGUUGCCAUCUUGGUGGGAAACUUUCUGAUCCUUAUCUCUAUUUGAUGUAGUCCUCUUUUUAACCAACCAAUGCACUAUUUCUUCAGGCUAUAUGAAUAUCUACUAUACCUCCUGUGUCACACCCAAAAUAAUUGGUGAUCUAGUAGUGGGAAGAAUAAACAUCUCCUAUGAUAGGAGUCUUUCCCAUGCACUUCUUUGGAAUCAUUGAAAUCUUCAUCCUUACAGUCAUGGCUUUUGAUCACUAUGUUGCCAUCUGCAAACCUCCCCGCUACCUAAUUAUCAUGAAUAGGACAAAAUACAAUACUCUAAUCUCGGUUGCUUGGCUGUUGGGGCUUUCCAUUCUUUGUUUCAGUUUUCUAUGAAAAUCUGGUUGCCUUUCUGUGGCUCCAACAAAAUUGAUGACUAAUAUUAAGAUAUUUUUCCUUUACUGAAAGUCGCUUGUACUGAUACCUGCAUCACUGGUGUCCUCGUGGUUGCCAAUUCUGGAAUGUUUGCCUUGGUAACCUUGUUCUGUCGUUUGGCUCUUAUGUCAUUAUACUAUUCCCCUUAAAAAAUCAUUCAGUAGAGGGAAGAUGCAAAGCCCUCUCUACCUGUGGAUCUCAUAUCACCAUGGUAAUCUUUUUCUUCGAACCUUCAAUCUUUGCCUACCUUAGACCUUCUCACUUUUCCUGAGGACAAAAUAUCUGCUCUGUUUUACACUAUUAUUGCUCCAAUGUUCAACCACCUAAUCUAUAACCUGAGAAAUACAGAGAUGAAAAAGGCCAUGAGAAAAGUUUGGUACCAAAUAUCAUUUUCAGAAGAAAAACAGCUGAUUUGUCCUACUUAGUGUACUAAAGAACUUUAUGCAGCAGGAAAAGUGUACAUGUCUCCAACGACUGCUGUUAGGUUAUAAAUUUUUUCCUUUUCUAGUUUAAAAUUUUACUGUGGUAAAAUAUGUAUAACA
rnacentral:lncRNA from 1 species